AACAGAUUUCAGCAAGUUGCUUCCUUUCUCUACCCUGCAAUGUGCCACUGUAGUUGGAAGCUGACUGAAGUUCGUCACACAAGUCUACCUGAACAAGAUAAGUUUUAUCUGACUCCAACUAUCUUCUUCAAGCACUUUGUUAAAAUAUCCACCCCAGAACUCAGUCUAAAAUUAUAUAUAUCUGCUGCCCUGAUAAAUGUUCCCCCAACAGAAGAGUUAUUUAAGCUUCUGUUAAGAUUGAAUUGAAGAUCAUUAGAUUCCAGAAUAUUUUAUCUGAAAGAACAGAGCUGUGAUAGUUCAUCAGCAAAGUCAUGACCUUGGAUCUGGGACCCUUGGCAAUCGAUUCUUUGAUAGGACUGCCUCUAGAAGAAAGAAAUUGACGGGAAGAAAAGAGCUGUGUGAUCCCAACCCACAAGCUGACAUUGGACUUCUCAAAGUACAGGUAGAAAUGAAACAUUCCUUUGCACAGGAAUGAAAUACCUCUUGGGGGGCCUGGGGCAGAAAGGACCUCUUGGGGCCCUGUUGAAACGGAAAAAAAGGUGAAUAUUGAUACCAUUGCUUUUUUUUUUUUUUAAUUUGAAUCAGGGCUGGAAACAGACACAGGACAAAUAAUGUAAGGGAUGUGGGAAAAAUAGCACAGUUCCUUAUUUAAAUGUUACACAGAAGUGCAUUAAUUCUUUCUUUAAUUAUGUUCAAGGCAGGUAUUACAAAUAAGUAAUCCCUUUAAACCAAAGAUAUUGUAUUUUUAUUGCAUUACCUAGUUAGAUAAGGUCAAACAUCGAAAAAGUGUCUCUCCAACUAACAUUAUUAUUCCUAAUAAUAAGAUAUAUGUAUUUUCUAGCUACUCAUCCUGGGUCUUCUCAUUUACUAUGUUUGUAGCCUAGGCUUUUUCUGCUUCUGCGCAAUCUGAAACCAAACAUAGUAACACAGAUCAUGAUUAUUUUCAGCUACCUAUUUGGCAAAGAUAUGAGUAGGAUUAACUCUUACACUAUUCCUGGGGGAAUCUGUCCUCAUUUCCUCAUUGUCUUCACAGAUGAAGGAGGUUUGAUGCUUUACAUCGAUGCACUGGCUCGAUUCUCAGGAUACUGAGAAACUGAUGCAAUCUACCCUGAACUAAGCAGAGCCAAUAUUCUUUAAAAUCCCAUGUAAAUACACUGGGACUUUGAACACAAACAGAAAGUUGAGUUUUGAACAUUCUGUUGAAUUUGUCAUAGUCCUGUUGCCCACAACUUGCAAUACAUUCUGUUCAUUCAACACUGGGAAACAUGGUGAUUUUGGAGACCAAGUAAACAUUGAUCCAGUGUAUUCUGAUGAAAAGAGUGUACUGGUAUUCGGCUAAGAGUAGGCAACAUAUUAGAAAGAGGAAAAACUCAUGCUUUCCGUAUAGUUGAUCUUUUGCAGUCAUCUAUGGUCAGAAAAUGGUUCAAUCUACAUGCAUAUGUUAUUGUGAGUAUAAAAGUCAACCUCAUAUUGUGAAUGUGGAUGGUUGAGGCAGAAGUUUUUGUUUUACGGAGAUGAUUACAGGAAGAGGCAAGAGGUAUUUGAGAUUUUAUUCUUUCUGAAAAUAAAGGUCACAACAUUUUUGAGACUUACAAACAAAGUGACAAAGGUACUAGUAUUAAUCAUGGUGAAUGCCAAAAUUGUAACGCUUCAUUUUUGAUGAACAGUUCAUAGUUAUGAUGCUCACGUAUAACUGUCUUACGCCUAUGCAUUCAAGACCUCUCAUAGGAAUGUGGCAUUUCUUGCUUGUGGACAACCAAAGCGCACUCUUUAGGGCUUUUCCUGGUUCAUCCCUUUGGAGACCAAGAAAGGACUGUGGAAAGUGCCCUAGGAAAAAAGCUAGAUGAAAGAUUUAUUUCAUCUAGAAUAUCAAAGAACAAUUUGAAUUAUAGCUUGUCAUGAAUAAAGUAUGUUUGUCUCCCCCUGUCCAGGCAAGUUAAAAUUAAGAUUGAAGUGUAAGAAGCGUUUUGAAUUUUUGGAAGAUUUUCUUAUAAAUUCUUUAUUUUUUUUUUUUUUUUUCUCUAUGAAAUAAUUAGCCUGCUUGAUUUUGCCUCACCAGUUUGAGAGGCUAAGUAUGUUCUUACUCUGAUAGGACUAUUUCAUUCAGCAUGACACACUGGUGACAAAAGGCAAGUGCUUGCUGCUGAUAUUUUCCUGAUUUGUAGGAGACCUUUCUGUUUGCCACACCAGGGCUAACAAAAGUACUAACAAAGUUCUGGUGUAUGGCAAGCCAUACACCAGAAACCCUCUCCUCGGUUUAUGUGAAAAUCAUGCUGAAGUGAUCAUUAGUCUACACCCACCUACAGUCCAGACAUAGACUCCCCUCACCAGCUCAGCUCUUGAGGCUGCACAUAGAGAAGUGCUUGAGAUCAUAGAUUUUCUUCCUGGGUACUCUGCAAAGGGAGCCUUGAGGAAGGACACACUAACUAAACCUGUGCUCCAUCUACUGAACUUUAAAGGUUUUGUCUCAUCUGUCUUAGCACUAACAUGGUUUAUCACUAACUUAGGAACCAGUAGGCAUCUUCUGGUCUGUGGCAUCCUCUAGUACUUGCUAGCUCUUAACAUGAAUCAGGCAUGUGAUAUGAACCAUUGAACAGUUUCGUUCAAUUCAUGAGUGAGUUUCAGCUGGGAUCCUUUCCCUCCCUUUGUUUCCCUUCUCUCCCUCCUUUCUCUUCUUUCCUUUUUAAAACUUUUAAUGUUUUCCUAUUUUGUUGUCUUAUCUUUAUAUUUUUAUUCAAGGAGAUUUUAUAACACCAGUGAUGACAAUUGCUACCCCAGAAUAUACAAAAGGCAGAUAGAGCUAAUUGCUAUUCAAACAAUUAUUUUUUCCUGCUUUCUUAUGAAAACCUAUUCUGCAAAAGAUUGAAAAUCAGAAACCCCUGAUGCUAGAAAAUAUGUCUAUCAGUGCAUGUGUGGAACGCACAUUUUUUUUGCAGUAUUUCCUAUCUUUUUUGUCCUUUACUGGAUACAUUUCUUCAUAUAGUUUAUUUGUAAUGCAUUGUAUUAGUGUUUAUCUGUCUUCUUGUCAUUAUGUAUAUGAGAAGUUUUGGACAGAAUGGUGAAUAUUUGACACACAACAGUAAACCCAAUAUGAUCCAAAUUAUACAGGCUAAUUAACAAUAACCAUUGUUUCCAUUAGAAAAUGUGCACCUAUUGAGUAUUUAGCAUCUUUGAUGUCUGUUUCUCUGUGUUGUUUGUUUUCCAGAUUCACAGAACUAAUCUGAGCUUUGUCUGUACCUAGCAGACAAAAAUGAGCAGAUACUAUUUACUUGUGUUAGAUUCAUUUAAUCCAACCUGCAAACAUGCGACUUUUGUGCAGGCUUAUGUUCUUAAGAAUAAAUUAAAUAUGAGUAUUCAUGAAACCAGCAGUCACCAGGAGAAUGUUACUUAAUUUUCAUGAAGUGACUUGUGAAUUUCCAUGCAUCUGCAUAGGCAAUGAAGCCUGUCUCAGAGAGCACUGAGAGCAGGGGUCUACAGUAUAGGCUACAUUAGUCAUCUGAACUCCAAUUUCAGAGUCUAAAGUCCCAUGGUAAAUUGCUCUGAAAAAAAUCAAUAGGUCAAAAGCCCUGUGCAUACCAAUGAAAAAACUGCUGUUGUUCUUGGUAGGUUCAGAAUUUUACUAAGA